UCCCAUAGUAACGGCGAGUGAACUGGGAUGAGNUCAGCGCUGAAUCACACAGUAUAACUACUGUCGUGAACUGUGGCGUAUAGGUGUAACUGCAUCGACAGCUAUCCGCACACUCAAAGUUCCCUUGAGUGGGGCUACUUCCGUAGAAGGUGCAAGACCUGUAUGAGUGGCUGGUGGUUGCCGAUAUUGGUUACUGCUUCAGAGUCGAGUUGCCUGGGAACGCAGCUCAAAGUCGGUGGUAAACCUCAUCUAAAGCUAAAUAUGACUUCGAGACCGAUAGCGAACAAGUACCGUGAGGGAAAGUUGCAAAGAACUUCGAAGGGAGAGUUCAAAAGGACGUGAAACCACUAGGGGGGAAGCGGAUAGAGUUAACAGCAUGAUGACGGCAUUCAGCCGAUGGCCGCAACGAGCGGUAUGCACAGUGUUCCGAAGCAAUCCGGCGCUUGCAUACUUGUAACGUACGUGCGAUCGGUGCUUUUGCCGUCAUUGGCGCGCUGAGGCACUCAGGGUGAUGUGUUGCAGGAUAUCGGCAGAGGACUGUGCUGCUCGUCAGUGCAGAACCCUACGAUAUCGUAAAGGCAUAUUCGCUGUGAGCGCAUGCAAUUAUGGCUCUACCCGCAAUAGCGCAUAAACGCAGCUGUGAUCGCAUUGGCUGUUGCCAGUGGCUUUGUCACUGUGUUUCUAGUCCGAGUGUGACCGUGGUCGCGUUUCAUGCGUUGGUAGAGUAGAUCUCGGUGUAAACAGUUAAUCACCUAUCCGACCCGUCUUGAAACACGGACCAAGGAGUGUAGCAUAUGCGCAAGUUAUUGGGUAGCAAACCUAAAAGCGAAAUGAAAGUAAUGAUAAACAAAUUAUGAGAGCUGUGUAGAGCAACACUACACGGUGCAUCAUAGUCCCGUCCUGAUUGCUUGCAAUAGGGCGGAGAUAGAGCGUAUACGCUGUGACCCGAAAGAUGGUGAACUAUG
rnacentral:rRNA from 1 species